GGCAUAGUUUAAAGGUAGAACGAAGGUCUCCAAAACCUUUGGUGUGGGUUCGAUUCCUACUGCCC
rnacentral:tRNA from 1 species